rnacentral:tRNA from 1 species
AAGUAGCUUAGUGGUCUAGAGCAGUCGCCCAGCAAGCGAAAGACCCGGGUUCGAUUCUCCCCGGUUU